rnacentral:rRNA from 1 species
UACGGAGGGUGCAAACGUUGCUCGGAAUCAUUGGGCGUAAAGCGCACGUAGGCGGCCGCCUAAGUCAGACGUGAAAUCCCUCGGCUCAACCGGGGAACUGCGUCUGAUACUGGGUGGCUUGAAUCCGGGAGAGGGAUGCGGAAUUCCAGGUGUAGCGGUGAAAUGCGUAGAUAUCUGGAGGAACACCGGUGGCGAAGGCGGCAUCCUGGACCGGCAUUGACGCUGAGGCGCGAAAGCCAGGGGAGCAAACGGG